rnacentral:rRNA from 1 species
GAUGAACGCUGGCGGCGUGCCUAAUACAUGCAAGUCGAGCGAACGGACGAGAAGCUUGCUUCUCUGAUGUUAGCGGCGGACGGGUGAGUAACACGUGGAUAACCUACCUAUAAGACUGGGAUAACUUCGGGAAACCGGAGCUAAUACCGGAUAAUAUUUUGAACCGCAUGGUUCAAAAGUGAAAGACGGUCUUGCUGUCACUUAUAGAUGGAUCCGCGCUGCAUUAGCUAGUUGGUAAGGUAACGGCUUACCAAGGCAACGAUGCAUAGCCGACCUGAGAGGGUGAUCGGCCACACUGGAACUGAGACACGGUCCAGACUCCUACGGGAGGCAGCAGUAGGGAAUCUUACGCAAUGGGCGAAAGCCUGACGGAGCAACGCCGAGUGAGUGAUGAAGGUCUUCGGAUCGUAAAACUCUGUUAUUAGGGAAGAACAUAUGUGUAAGUAACUGUGCACAUCUUGACGGUACCUAAUCAGAAAGCCACGGCUAACUACGUG